rnacentral:lncRNA from 1 species
ACCCACCUCAGCCUCCCAAAGCACUGGGAUUACAGUUGUGAGCCACCACGCCCAGCCGAGUCCGUUUUGUUUAAGGCAUGUGAGCAACCUCAAAAAUCCAUGCCAAGUGGGGAGCAAAGGAAGCUCAUUUCACCCCCACACCUCCAUUUAUCUUCUAAACUAAUUUUCACCCAACUCAAGGUCUGGGUCCUUGUGAAGACAUUUAAGUUUGCAAGAGGCACGUGGGUAAUGACUGGUGGAUUAUUAAUAAAAUACAGAAUAAUAAAACCAGGACAUGGCCAAGCAUCUGCAGCUGUGUGGACCAAUGAAAAUCUGAAAUCUUUCUGGUUUAUGGGCGCUUGAUCCUCCUUUGGCUUUGUGGGGCUGGGGGGGACAGAUGUGGAGUGGAGGAUGAGGGUGGGAAACUGGAAUCUGAUCAUGUUACAUGCCCAAGGGCUCUCACUGAAAGUAGGCCUCACCAUCUUCCCCAUUGCACCUCUGAACCAUGUCAUUACAUGUCUACCUUAGAAAGGCCUGAAAUUAAAAAAUAAUAAUAAAUAAAAAAUAAAUUCAAAAACCACUCCAUAAGAAGCUGAAAAUCUGUACUUCACAUUUCUUUCCCUGAGCCCUGAGGUGGUCUAAGUCUUCCUUCAUUCAUUCCCACGGCCUCCCGGGAACCGUGUCUUCAUCCUGAGUUAUUUCUGCAGUGUUCCAUCAGGCAUCUGCGGGUCUUUAAAGGAAAUGUGAAAAGGUAGCAAAGACACAUCUGUGCAGCAGAGACAUGUGGCACAGGAAAGAAGUGCAGAAAUCAAAGCCAGGGAGAAGCCUGCUAGCCACCUAGAAAUCAAAUUGUGUCAGGGAGAAAGCCUGCGUGGAAAAUAGAUUAGAAAGGCACUGAACAAGAGAGAAGAAAGAAAGGCAGCCCCUGCAAAAGUUAAUGAGAAGCAGAGGAGGCCGGGAGAAGCAGCCUGAAUUUGAAAAGAGUCCUGCACUGCUUGAGGAAGGACUCAAGAUUCAGUAAGUUCUAUCGACUUCUGCCUGGGUAAUGCGGUGGCCGUCCACCUGCAUGUCCCUCUUUGCUCACCACGCUCAAACUGGGGGCUGCAGGCUCUGAAAGAAAACCAGGGAGGAGGGAGACAUGAAAGGAAUGGGAACGCAGGCCUAGGACUUCAGAUGAGAGGGGACCCUCCAUCCACAGCGCCAUCCUUCAUCUGACCUCCAGCCCCGUCCUGACUCUGUAACUACUAGGCCUGGUGCCAACAGGGCUGGUGAAAUUGGUGGGAACUGCGAUAAUGAUACCUGCCUGGACAACCCCGAAUGUUGAAAGAGACGGCAUAGGUACAGGAACUGGCAGAGUGGGGCUCCACAAAGAGCGACCUGUUAUUAUUAAAUGUAGAAGCAGGUGGAAGUGGCCUCUGAGCCUUUCCAUUUUCUUUUGAGACGGAGUCUCACUCUGUCGCCCAGGCUGGAGUGCAGUGGCACAAUCUCGGCUCACUGCAACCUCCACCUCCCGGGUUCAAGCGAUUCUCGUGUCUCAGCCUCUCAAGUAGCUCGGUCUAUAGGCGCGCGCCACCAUG